rnacentral:rRNA from 1 species
GUGGGGAAUCUUGCGCAAUGGGCGAAAGCCUGUCGCAGCCAUGCCGCGUGAAUGAUGAAGGUCUUAGGAUUGUAAAAUUCUUUCACCGGGGACGAUAAUGACGGUACCCGGAGAAGAAGCCCCGGCUAACUUCGUGCCAGCAGCCGCGGUAAUACGAAGGGGGCUAGCGUUGCUCGGAAUUACUGGGCGUAAAGGGCGCGUAGGCGGACAGUUUAGUCAGAGGUGAAAGCCCAGGGCUCAACCUUGGAAUUGCCUUUGAUACUGGCUGUCUUGAGUACGGGAGAGGUGAGUGGAACUCCGAGUGUAGAGGUGAAAUUCGUAGAUAUUCGGAAGAACACCAGUGGCGAAGGCGACUCACUGGCCCGUUACUGACGCUGAGGCGCGAAAGCGUGGGGAGCAAACAGGAUUAGAAACCCUGGUAGUCC